UAGGGAAUCUUUCGCAAUGGGCGAAAGCCUGACGGAGCAACGCCGCGUGAGUGAUGAAGGUCUUCGGAUCGUAAAACUCUGUUAUUAGGGAAGAACAAAUGUGUAAGUAACUAUGCACGUCUUGACGGUACCUAAUCAGAAAGCCACGGCUAACUACGUGCCAGCAGCCGCGGUAAUACGUAGGGGGCAAGCGUUAUCCGGACUUAUUGGGCGUAAAGCGCGCGUAGGCGGUUUUUUAAGUCUGAUGUGAAAGCCCACGGCUUAACCGUGGAGGGUCAUUGGAAACUGGAAAACUUGAGUGCAGAAGAGGAAAGUGGAAUUCCAUGUGUAGCGGUGAAAUGCGCAGAGAUAUGGAGGAACACCAGUGGCGAAGGCGACUUUCUGGUCUGUAACUGACGCUGAUGUGCGAAAGCGUGGGGAUCAAACAGG
rnacentral:rRNA from 1 species